rnacentral:lncRNA from 1 species
UUCAGUUGAGGAUAGUUCUUUAUCAAGUUGUCAAGAUGGCAAAGCUGAUGGCAUCAGAAAAUACCAGAGGAUAUAAAAUUUAAAAUUAAAUUGUACUAGACUGUCCUACACAUAAAAUUAUUUCACCUUGGCUCAUGGCCACACAGCCACAGGAGACAGUUUGCAUCACAAACGUACCUAAAGGUUGAAUCUGAAAUGAGAAAUACUGUGCAUUUUGGCUUUCUCACCACGGAAGUCCAAAUGCCACACACUUUCCAUUGCCAGGAAUUGGUUUGUCUGCUUCUCCUCCUCUCUUUCCACAAGCAUGUCUGACCAAGGGCAGAUCUUCUUCACAGCCUUCAAACUGUCAACUAAAUAAAAGCAUAUGUGAUAUCUUAUUAUAACCAUGUGUGUCUUCUCAUUCACGAUGGCACAAGAAGCAGUUCAUGUUAGCACCUGAACAAGGAAAAUCUCUGAAGUUUAUGGGCCAUUAUAUCCAUCACAGGCAAUAAAGAAGGAGAAAACAAACAGACAAGUGAACAUAUAUCAGACAGAAAGAAUGUACACAUCUUCAACUUGAAUUAGGACUGCAAUUUUUUGACUGUAAAAGUGGCUCAAGAUCAUAAUUUCUGAUAACUGAAAGUAGUAAUUGCAAGAAAUAUGGCAAUAACACUGUGCCUCUAAAUUUCAGCAACCGCAGCUACUACUCAAAAAGCAUGAGUAGGAUAUCGUGUUGAGUUGUUCUUCAUCUUUCGUUUUCCAAGGCUUUCUCUGUAAUUCUGAGUGCUAAGAAAAAAAAACACUUUUCAGAAAGGUGAAGCCUGAGAAUUUCAAGGAAAUCAAAAUACUCCAGGAGAUGAGCUAAUAUGAAAACCCAGUAGACUGAAACAGUCUGUUUCAGGAAUAUGGAAAUGUAGAUAUGGAUACUUACAAAUGAAAUUAUUACUUUAUUUUGGGAGUAUAAACUGAAUUCACGUAAGGAAAACUAGAGAAAUGGUGCUGUAAGUUUGUUAAUGGCAUUUAAAUUAGUAUUUAACACUUCUUUUCCUGCGAUAUAUUUGCUUUUUGAUCACAGUAUUUUACAUUCUGACUCCAUUACAUAAAUUAUGUAUCUAAGACUGCACAAUCUUUGAAUAAAGCGGUGAGAAUAAACUAUUUUGACAGAAGACUAUUAAUAGAUUUAUUUUAUUUUAUGGU